rnacentral:rRNA from 1 species
UACGGGGGGAGCAAGCGUUGUUCGGAUUUACUGGGCGUAAAGGGCGCGUAGGCGGUCGUGACAAGUCACUUGUGAAAUCUCCGGGCUUAACUCGGAAAGGUCAAGUGAUACUGUCGGACUAGAGUACAGAAGGGGCAACUGGAAUUCUCGGUGUAGCGGUGAAAUGCGUAGAUAUCGAGAGGAACACCUGCGGCGAAGGCGGGUUGCUGGGCUGACACUGACGCUGAUGCGCGAAAGCCAGGGGAGCGAACGGG